GACGAACGCUGGCGGCGUGCCUAACACAUGCAAGUCGAACGGAAACGCCCUGCUUUUGUGGUCUGCUCGAGUGGCGAACGGGUGAGUAACACGUGAGUAACCUGCCCUUGACUUUGGGAUAACUUCAGGAAACUGGGGCUAAUACCGGAUAGCAGCCCCUGUUGCAUGGUGGGGGUUGGAAAGUUUCGGCUGUCGGGGUUGCACUCGCGGCUUAUCAGCUUGCUGGUGGGGUAGUGGCUUACCCAGCCGUUGACGGGUAGCCCGACUGAGAGGGUGACAGGCGACAUAGGGACUGAGGUGCGGCCCAGACUGCUACGGGAGGAAGCAGUGGGGAAUAUUGCACCAUGGGCGGAGGGCGGGUGCAGAAACGCCGCGGGCGGUAUAGCGGUUUUCGGGUUAUAAACCGCUUGCGCGUGUAACGAAGCGUGUGUGACGGUAAUGGAUAAAAAAGGACCGGCUAACUACGUG
rnacentral:rRNA from 1 species